CUCAGUCACCUCCUCCGCCUCGCAGGGAAAGCAUCAUGGUGCUCCCGUUACUCCGCUUCUUUAUCGGCUUCCAUCCACGUGGUCCUCCCAGUGGUUGAAGGCCAUCGGUGGAAUGCCCUGGAGACAAAGGAUGUCGAAUGAUCAAAGCAAGUUGGCAAACUGGGCGACGACUCCCCCAAAGGAAGCCCAUCUUCAAAAUGGGCCGAAAGCAAAGAUUAUCUGAAGGCCUGAAGCAGAGCCGUGAAUGGACUGAAGAUGAGGUAUGUUUUGGUAUUAUCGUACAAUCGUACAGACUUGUAAUAUAUUUAAUGAUGAUUCCCUUUUUUUCCGUCUGCGGUUUCCAACAGAUGGCUUCAGUCAAUGAUGGUUAGGAACG